AGUAACGCGUAGGUGACCUACCCCGAAGUGGGGAAUAACUGCCCGAAAGGGUGGCUAAUACCGCAUGUGAUCGAUCAUUCAUUUAAUCGAUCAAAGCAGUGAUGCGCUUCGGGAGGGGCCUGCGUCCGAUUAGCUCGUUGGUGGGGUAAUGGCUCACCAAGGCGACGAUCGGUAGGUGGUCUGAGAGGACGAUCACCCAGACUGGGACUGAGACACGGCCCAG
rnacentral:rRNA from 1 species